AGAAGAAGAAGANGAAGAAGAAGAAGAAUAAGAAGAAGAAGAAGAAGAAGAAGAAGAGAAGAAGAAGAAGNAGAAGAAGAAGAAGAAGUAGAAGUCGAAGAAGAAGAAGAAGANGAAGAAGAAGAAGAAUAAGGAGAAGAAAAUGAAGAAGAAGAAAAGGAAGAAGAGGAAAACAAGAAGAGGAAAAAGGGAAGAGGAAGAAGAAGAAAAUGACACCUUGACACAAC
rnacentral:lncRNA from 1 species